GCCAGAGUGACGUAGUGGUUUGAGCGUUGGGUUAGGACACUAGGGGACCAGGGUUCGAAUCCUGGCUCGGCCA